rnacentral:rRNA from 1 species
CCUACGGGAGGCAGCAGUGGGGAAUAUUGGGCAAUGGGCGCAAGCCUGACCCAGCAACGCCGCGUGAAUGAAGAAGGCUUUCGGGUUGUAAACUUCUUUCGUCAGGGACGAAGCAAGUGACGGUACCUGACGAAUAAGCCACGGCUAACUACGUGCCAGCAGCCGCGGUAAUACGUAGGUGGCAAGCGUUAUCCGGAUUUACUGGGUGUAAAGGGCGUGUAGGCGGGACUGCAAGUCAGAUGUGAAAACCAUGGGCUCAACCUGUGGCCUGCAUUUGAAACUGUUUUUCUUGAGUACUGGAGAGGCAGACGGAAGUCCUAGUGUAGCGGUGAAAUGCGUAGAUAUUAGGAGGAACACCAGUGGCGAAGGCGGUCUGCUGGACAGAAACUGACGCUGAGGCGCGAAAGCGUGGGGAGCAAACAGGAUUAGAUACCCGUGUAGUC